rnacentral:rRNA from 1 species
UACGAAGGGGGCUAGCGUUGCUCGGAAUCAUUGGGCGUAAAGAGCUCGUAGGCGGCUCAGUAAGUCGGGUGUGAAACCCUCAGGCUCAACCUGGGGACGCCACCCGAUACUGCUGUGGCUAGAGUCCAGUAGGGGAGUGUGGAAUUCCCGGUGUAGCGGUGAAAUGCGCAGAUAUCGGGAGGAACACCAGCGGCGAAGGCGGCACUCUGGGCUGGUACUGACGCUGAGGAGCGAAAGCGUGGGUAGCAAACAGG